rnacentral:rRNA from 1 species
UCGUGUCGUGAGAUGUUGGGUUAAGUCCCGCAACGAGCGCAACCCUCACCUCUUGUUGCCAUCAGGUCAUGCUGGGCACUCUAGAGGAACUGCCCCGGUCAACGGGGAGGAAGGCGGGGAUGACGUCAAGUCAUCAUGCCCCUUACGUCCUGGGCUACACACGUGCUACAAUGGCCGGUACAAAGGGAUGCCACACCGCGAGGUAGAGCUAAACCCAAAAAAGCCGGUCUAAGUUCAGAUUGGAGUCUGCAACUCGACUCCCAUGAAGGAGGAAUCGCUUAGUAAUCGC